rnacentral:lncRNA from 1 species
UUUUUUUUUUUGCCUCCAUCCCUUAUACCUAAAUGGGAAGGAAAUAAAAAGUAGGCCUUCUGGAUCAUUUACGUCCUCCGUUCAGGAAAAUAAGUUAUUCUAAAAUCUAAAAAAUACAAGUUAUUGCUAUCGGAUUUAAUAUGUAGUAUACGUGGCGGCGGUAUUCUAUUCGAGGACGAUGCUUCAGGGCCUGUUUGGCUCCAACCUGUUGAAGUUUAACACCCGUCACAUCGGAUGUUUGAAUGCUAAUUAGAAGUAUUAAAUAUAGACUAAUUACAAAACUAAUUGUACAGUUGGAGUGUAAUUCGCGAGACGAAUCUAUUAAGCCUAAGUAAUCCAUGAUUUGACAAUGUGGUGCUACAGUAACCAUUUGCUAAUGGUGAAUUAAUUAGGCUUAAUAGAUUCGUCUCGCGAAUUAGCACAGGAUUCUGCAAUCAAUUUUAUAAUUAGUUAAUAUUCAGUUCUCCUAAUUAGCAUCCGAACAUCCGAUGUGACACUGUUAAAAUUUAGCACCUCGUAUCCAAACACGCCGUCACAAGAAAACCAAGAAAACAACGAAACGCCUGGCGGGUCCACACACCACUGACCACAGGGGCACUGGUCUGACUUUGACCCACAACCACAAGUCGGCUCGACGCGGACAACGAGCGCGCGUGGCGAAAAAAAAUCCCGCGCCCGCAACCCACGACCCCACGCGCCGCGAGCGGGAAACGCGAAACCCACUUCCCCUUUCCUAGCCGCCCUCUUCCGUUUCCCCCCUUUUCCAUUCCGCCCAAUCCAUCGCCGCUCGCCGCAGCGUCACUGCGUCAGGUUAACCGAAACGCGCCGCGCCCGCCUCCGUUUCAAACCCGAAAUUUUUCGCCGUCCCCCCCCAAAUUUUUUCCCUCGCUUCUGCCUCCGCGCAACCCAACAAAUCGCCUUCCUUCCCCUCCGCCUGAUUAGUCUCGCCAAUUCCCCCCUCAACCGAACCAACCUUCCUCUUCCCCCGAAUCUCAGGUCUCCCGCCCGCACCCACCGGCCGGCCACCUACCCCGCCGGCGCGAAACCCUAAUCGGCGGCCGCCUCCCUCUCCAUCCCAUGGCGGAGCAGGACGGCGCCGCGGGACAGAGCCCGCUCGACUCCCCUCCGGUGAGAUUCGCUGACUUUUGCUUGGGUUGGUCUGGGGACUGGGGUUGCGAAGUUUCUAGGUCCCGCCGGAAGCAGUAGCUUGCGAGGUACGCUUGGGGUUGGGGACUUGCCCCAACUCCGGGAGUGGUUUCUGUGGGGCGGUUCACUACUUCACUUGAUGUGUGGUGCUUGCGUCAGGGCUUUGGCGUUUUGGGUAGUUUUUCGUCUGGGUUAUUGCGGUUGGUUUGGCUCGAGUCUCGUUAAUUUGGGGGCACGAAGAGUUCGUGCGGGUGGGUACCCAGAUUUUGGUUAAUUCGGGCAUUCGGCACCGGCGUCCCCCGUUGUCACUGGCUACGGCAGUGAUCGCUAUUACCAGCUCUAAUAUAGAAAUGUCCGUGAUGUAGUGAUCGUGUCCUUUGCUCAAAUCGUUAUGGACUUUCAAUGCAACGUUCUACCAUGUUCAAACGAAAUUAAAUCGGAUAAUUCCGAGCUGCCUUUGUCCUAACCUUCCGUUUUUCUCUAUUUGCACUUAACUGGCAGUAGCUGUCAUAGAAGGUAAUACAGUACUCUAUAGUUUUUGUGUCAUGAUGAAAAUAUGGAUCUAACUGUAAGGAUCCCUUCUAUUAGGGGGUCAGUGCUGAAAAUGGGGAUGAGAAUACUGAGCAGCAUCAACCAUUUUUCUCCAUGUGCCAGCCAAUUCGCUCUGUUGUAAGCUCCUAACUCAUGCUCCUGUCCAAAUUUGUAGUGUCAAUGUGUUAUUAUGCUCAAGUUUAUAAUUUGUCUCUAUGUGUUCCUGUUUCUGCUUACAGAGCUACGCAAAUUCGUGGGAAAGCUGUUUUGCUCCUGCUGCAAAUGAAAAUGACCACAAUGUGAGCUCCUAACUCGAGAUUUAUGUGAUCUUUUGGUAUCUUAUAUAGCUUGUAAUCAGUUCGUGACUCCUACUCUCUGAUACAGAGUGGCUUGAACUCAAUGGUGAAUGACCACAUCCUGAUUACAUCUGCUUCUCUUGGAAGCAAGCAACCUCAACCUGAGGUGCGUCCUUUCUCCCAGCCCUUAUUUAAGAACUUGAUGGCUCCUGUGAAUUUGUUUGGGCUCAUCUGUAGUAAUAUCUGCUUACUAGUUCACGGAUGUGUUGUUUUAGGACAUAUCUGGUACAGUAGAUGAUGAAGGCAAGCCUUGUUCACCACAUUCAAUCGAUAAGGAAGCCAGUUUGGUGCAAGAUGUCAUGGAAAUGGAACAAUCAAUGGUAUGAAGUGUUUGCCUUGCCAUUUAUUUUUUCUGCAAUCAGCCCAAGAAACUGCAUUUACUUCAUAUACCUGUUUUUUCUCUUAGUUUUUUUUUUAAAAUUGUGACAAUCCUCACUCAGACACCAGAUGUUUGGAAUUGCAUAGCAUGAAGCAAAACUAAGCCUGCCUGUUAUGCUAAAUCAUGUUCUCUUCGAGAGGGAACUUGGUUUAAUUUUUUAUAAAAUUUGUAACUUAAAUGUAUGGAUACAAUUCAUAUUAUGGGCAGCUGAUCUGCAAUUGUAAUUCCAUAUAUGUGAUCUCUUUAGCAAUCCAUGUUCCUGAAUCAUCUCUAGAUCACUGCAAACUUGUUUGGGACAAAAAGGCUUUAUUGCUGUAUAUAACAUUAAUGGCGAGUUCUGUGCCUAGAUGAUCCCUAAUUCUUGUUUCUAUAUUGUAGGAUGAAAUUGAUGUGCCACAUGGAGAAGCAAGUGAGCAGCCAGAACCCCUUAGCACAGAGCAACCCGAUUCAACCGUAAGUUCCACCUUCUGAUAUGGCCUGCUAACUCAGGCCUUUAAUGUGUAUGCGGCCCAAUUUUGUUAUAUUGACGUAUAUACUUAUACAAGUAUUCUCAGGGAACUGCAAUUAUUUCAUAUAUAAACAUUGAUCUCUUUGUGUGUCAUGCGCGCAUGACUGCAUACACAAUUACACAUGCAUAAGUUAUUUGGCUUAGGCCUCUUAAGUUUCCUAAUAUUAUUUUUGGGUGGUGCUGCAGGGUGGAAUGGAUUUAUGGGAUGACAAAGAUAAUCAGAAACUGUUGCCCCUUAACACUGAUCGGUGGAACUCCAGUGUAAGACUGUUAUUGUCUUAAUCACAUUGUAUGUGCAAUUUUUAUUUGGUCCUUCCUUACAUCAACUCAUUGUAUUGAUGGGCUUUGUUCAAUAGAUUGGUGAAACUUGUGAUGCUGAAGAUAAGCAGUUUCCUCUGUCCUUUUCUUACAGAAGGCAACCCCAAUCUGUGGUAAUCUUCUGCACUAAGUUCUAUACAUAGUUGGCAUCCUGAAGGACAUUGUUUUUCAUUACAUCACAAAGUUUUCCCAUGUACAGGGAGCAGGUCUUAGCAAUAUGGGGAACACAUGCUUCUUAAAUGCAACUCUUCAGUGCAUCACUCAUACUGUACCACUUUUUCUCAAGCUUCGCUCAACUGAUCAUUCCACUCCAUGCUCAUGUAUGGAUAAUUUCAUACAACUUUUUAUUAUUGUUUAAAAAAUGUUUUCAGAUUUUCUAUUCCAUUUUAGUUUGCAUGAUUUGGACUCCUGGUACCCUGCAGAUGAUAAAGAUGGAUUCUGUUCUUUCUGUGCCCUUAAAGAACAUGUCGAUGAAUCAAUUCGAAGGUCUGGAUCUGUUAUAAUGCCCGCAAAGUUCAGAGAUAAUUUAAGAAGUAUCCUUUCCUCUUGAACUUUUGCCUAGUCUGUUUAAUUCUCCCCAUUACAGCUGCUGUUUGCAUAUAUGUUUUUCAUUAGUUCACAUUCUUAUGCUUCCUUUCACCAUUCAGUUUAUCUUACUCUUCAUUUAAAUAAUGUGCUGAGCUAGUGGAUACUUUUCAACUGUUGCCAGCUUGCUAUAGUCCUUCCAUGUCAAGUUGUGUCAUAUGUGGUUCCUUAACAAUAUUUUCCAGAGCUAUCUUCAGAUUUUAGACCGGGACAGCAAGAGGAUGCCCAUGAAUUCCUACGUUGCUUGCUUGAUAACUUGCAUAAGUGUACCCUUGAUCCCAUGUCUAAGGGCAAGGGCUCAUCCUUUGAUGAAGAAAGUAUAGUCAAGGACAUUUUCGGAGGCCAACUGAAAAGCCAGGUAAUUUAGUUUUUUAUCACCUAUUUGUUCUCUUGUCACUUGCAUCACAACUAAUGCUACUCUGUGUGUCUAGUUGUCUUGCUGCGAGUGUGGUCACAGCUCGGAGACAUUUGAGCCCUUCCUGGAUCUAAGCUUGGAGAUCGAUCAGGUUGAUCACCUGGUAGAUGCCAUGGAAUCUUUUACCAAGGUAGAGCAGAUCGGGGACUCUGAAGAUAAGCUCACCUGUGAACGAUGCAACGCUCAAGUUUGUAAGAACAAGCAGCUUACACUUCAUAGAGCACCAGAUGUUAUUGCAUUUCAUCUGAAGCGUUUUACCACCCUUGACAAUUCUGUUGAGAAGAUUGACAAACAUGUGGUAUACCCUUCAGAGGUUGAUUUGAAGCCGUUCCAUAGUAACCCAGACACUGUGGUGAGCUUUUCUUUCUAUACUGUGCCUGUUUGGAAGAUGUAAGCUGUUCUAGGAAUUUCUAGACUAAGGAUUUGAAUCCCAGUCCAUCUGUUCAAACAUAGUCGAUAGUUUUGCCACUUAGGUAAAAUUAAUUUUUUGUUAUACUUCCAAAUGCAGGGGGAGCUGAAAUAUGAUCUUUAUGGUGUUGUUGAGCAUUCUGGGUUACCCAACUAUGGCCACUAUGUGUGCAGUAUUCGUUCUUCACCAAGCACUUGGUACUUGAUGAAUGACUCCCAUGUAUGUGCCACAAAUCCUUUUUUGUUUUGUUACCACAAGUCAGUUGCUACUGCUUUGUUGACAUGAACCUUUUCUCCAUUUUAAUAUGCCAGUUAUUUUGCAGGUUGAUUCGAUUACAGAUGCAAGCGCGUUAAACAAGGAAGCAUAUAUUCUCUUCUAUGUUCGGCAGGGCAAAUUUCCAUGGUUCUCUAGUUUGCUAGAGGUCAAAGAUGCCCUACAUGCUGAGGAUGCUCGCGGUGCAUCUCCUGUGUCUGUUUUGGAAAAUAUUGAUGCAAACUGUUCAACGUCUUCUGGAGGAGGCAGUAGCAGUAAUUCUGGUGAUAAAUUAGAGAAAAAUGAAGCCAGGCAGUUGGAGGAGUUAGAGAAGGAUGAAACCAGUCAAUACAAAGUAUCAUUCUGUCAUGAGGAGCCAUCUAAGAGAAGUUCACUUGGUGCUUCCAACAUCAAUAAUACAAGAGAUGAAAUCAGUCCACCCAGAGCAUCUCUCCAAGAUGAUGUUGUUAGAUGUCCCCGUAGUGUAGAAACUACCAAUCUGGAUAGGCCCUCUACUCCUCUGCCCUCGAAGCGAUCAUUCUCACAUAAUGAGUUUGGUGUGUUUGAGUUUGAGGACUUUGGUAAGGAUGCAUUUUAAUUAGCUGGUAUUAAGUUCUGGUUUUAUUUUUGCAAAUCAUCUAUCUUAUUUCCCUUGAUAGAAUUCCAACCUCAAUUCAUUGUCCAGUUGACAUUAGUUUUGUCACAUUUAUUAUUCAUCGAUUAAUGAACCCCUAGACAAAGUGAUCCUAAUCACUCCACCCUUUAAUUUUAGACAUCAGACUUGCAGUGUUGUGCUAAAUAUCUUGAAUACGACUUAAUUGUUUUUCAAUGCUGUUGAUUGCCUUACAUGUCAUAAAACAUUGCUCAUUCACCUUUUUAAAGGCUCAUGUUUCUGCUUGUCUCAUUUACAGAUGAUGACGAAGACACUCCUUUGCUUCCAGAUCUGAAAUUUCACCCUAAGGCAAAGAAACCUAAGGCUGCAUCUGCAUCUAAAGCUGUGAAGGGCCCCAGUAUUGAUCAGAACGCAAGACGUUUGAUGAGUGGCAUGCCAUCCUCAAGAAGAAAAGGUCUCCUGGACUGCAUGGUCACACAACAAAAUGCACAUCAGGAGUCUCGUAGUCGCAGAUGCCCCACAAGCGACCCUAUGGACAAAAAGAAACGGAAGUUGGUUCAAUGCUAGGUAUUUUCAAGUUUGGGCACCACAAAUCUUGUAUUUCUGUAUAUCCUUUUUUGUUUUCUUUUGCUACUCUCUUGCUGUAUAUCUUGGUCUAGCAUCCAUGCUGUCCUCCACUGCCCUUUAAUCUAAUUUAGCUGUCAUAAACUUUAUGGCCGGCUAGAUUGGUUGCAGGGUACAUGAGAGCAUAAGAGUCAGUUAAUCUAUCUACUUUUUUUUUUUGCUUCCUCCUGAUGUGCCAUCGCACACCUAUCAACUAUGCUGUAUGGGAUUUGCACCUGCACCAACUGCCCAUUUUGUUUAGUAGGUAGCACUACUUGGACAGAACAGGGCUUAUCUUGUAUGGAACAUAACCAGGGAAAAGAAAUGAAAUCGAGUUUAUCUGAAAUCUUGUUCAAUUCUGUAACAUAGCAAGCAGCAAUUUUGUUAGUCGACAGUGAUGUUAAAAAAAAAACUCGACAAUGAUGUUUUCUUAACUAAUCUUCUCGUCUGCUGUCUUUGUUACUGGUCUUGUGUUUUCCCUGUGGGGGUUUCAGUUUGAUAUUGUACUCUGAAACGACAAUGUAUGCAAGUCAGGGAUAGAGAACUUUAGCUUGCAGGUGGUAUGCCAUCUAACAACCAUCGCUGUAUACUCGUGAAAAGAGGGAUAAUAUCGUAAGAGAUUUCGGAGGAAAAGAAGAUCGUCUAGUUCUGGCUAUCUGGGACACCGGACGAGGAGUUGAGGACUUGCCAAUCAUACGAUUCAAGGAUCGCAGAACGAAAAAACAGUGAGGUGUCUUGAUAGAAAAAACUUAUAUUUCACUAAUUUACUAUUGUUAUAUAGUUCUUUAAUCGGCCGAACUAUCACCGAAGGGGUGGUGGCGCAGUUGGCUAGCGCGUAGGUCUCAUAGCUAAUUGAGUUAUCCUGAGGUCGAGAGUUCGAGCCUCUCUCACCCCAUAUUUUUCCCCCUUUUCCCACCUGAUUUUUUUUAGCUAACAUCGUCUCAUCUCUGCCUGACUACCCAUAUCUGCGUUUUCCCUUCCCUAUCCACCCCGAUUUUUUUCCCUGACAAAGUCCCUUCCCAUUUUUUUUGCUGAUACCAUCUCCCCAUGUCCUCGGAGCUAAUAUAAGCUAUUCACACUUCACUCUCUUCCUCCUCACUGUCAGCACGCCGACACGCUACUCCCGCCCCAUCUCACUUGGUCUUAUGCACAGGUAAGAGCUCCGGACUACGCAUUACAUCGUGUGGAUAGUCACCAGCCGGUCAGACUCCGAAAUCGAGCGACUUCUUUCACAGGUAUAUUAGCAUGCUUGAGGUCACUGUAGUAAAAUCCAGCAUUCAUUUUUAUGCAAACAAAGCAACAUGGUUGAGAAGCUCAGAUAAGAUCUCUUUUUAGCCAAUUCAGCACCUUAAUUCUCCAGAUAAGAUCAAGACUAAGACCAAAACAAAAAAAUGGUAACAUGGAUCCUCACAACAUCAUAGGCUCAGUUCAUCUCUUGGCAUUAUACUUCCACAAUAGUUAGGGAAUAUAGAACACAACAUACAGUGACUAGCCGAACAUCCUUUCACAACACUGAACAAUCUCGCUAAUACCGCUGCAUCCGCUGGAUUUUGCUACUAAUACAGAAAAGAUAAAUUUGUUUCUACACCAAAAGGGCACUAGAGGAAAUCCUCUCCUCAAGAACCACCAGCACCACCACCUGGGCCCUCAUUAGCUGGCUUGCGGUUCAGGUAUCUUAUAACAGCAUCCUCAACCCUAUUUCAUCGUGGAACCAAAAUCACGUUGUCAGCACAUGGAUACAUGAUGUUCAAGAAAAAAAGGAGGUCAAUCGUAGGUAUUGUUAGAGCUUACCAUGGUUGGUUGUAGAAAUCUGCGCGUCUUUCCUUUUCAAUGUUCCUAUUCGCUUCGCCGGCGACCAGCUUCAAAUCUUUGCUCUGAGAAGCUAUCAGGCCGUUAAUGAACUCCACCGGGGACUGACUGAAACCCAGGAAGAAAGCCCUCCUCCUGCGGUGCUCAUGGAUCUUCUUGAUCGAGGCAGAUAUCACAUCGUCGCAGGCCUCAAUGUCCUUGUGCUUCUCAGUGUUGGCAAGGAAUGCCAUCAUCUCCUUCUGCAGCGGGAAGGGCACAUCCACCAGCACAUCAUAGCAAGCACUUGCGGAAGCUCCAUUGCCUGAUAGCUUAAUCUUGUGCUCCAAGUUGAUGGGCGGUGGGGCAGACAGAUGCUGAGAUAUCUUCUGCGACAGCAUUGCAAACUUCAGUUUAUCCUCCCCAAACACCUUCUUCAAUUGAGGGUCACACAUGAAGAAGGAAGGGUCAUUUGGGUUCUGAAGCUUCUUCGCCUUGAUGUACUGCCAGAGGGCAGCAAUCACCCGCGCGCGAGUGUCCACCUCGACCCCGAGCACCUCCAUCAGCGGCUGUGACAGCUUAAACUUCUCAGGGUUGUAGUUCAUCUCCAGCCGGAUGUUCGCAACAAACUCCUUAUCCCCUUUCCUCUUCACCUCGAAACCUUCCUGCUGGGCGGCAGAACGCGCAUUUUCCCAGAUGAUCAGUGGGUUUUCAGGGUACAGCUGUGGGUCCAGCGCAAUGGUCACCCUCUUGAAGAAUUGGGAGAACUUCGGAUACACCGGGUUGUGCUUGGGCACCACGCUGGCAGGGUCCAGCUCGGCGCCAUCCUCGAGCACGCGGCCGAUGAUCUUGAGCGACCAGGUGGGCGGGUCGGCGUUCUUGGGCGGCGGGAUGGCGCGCGGGCCCUGGUUGGCGAAGGUGUUGAAGACGUAGAUGCGGAGCGUGCGCUGGAGUGAGGGCGGCGUCUUGAGCGCCUCCUGGAUGUCCACUUUCUUCCGCGCCAGCGCCGCGUCCACGCGGGCCUCGAACUCGAGCAGCUGCGUGUAGAGCGCGGACUCCGGGAGCAGCGCGGCGACGCGGUCCGGGAGCUGCUUCUCCGGGAGCUUGCGCUUCUUGUUGCGUCGCGCGGCGGGGGUGAGGUCGACGCCUCCGGAGUUCGCCACGGCCGCCGCCGCCGCCGAAGCCUUGUACGCGGCAGCUGCCGAAGCCGCCGCGGCGGCCGAGGUAGACCCGGGACCCGGGGGCCGCACGGGGGGCUUCUGCGGGGGGCGCUUGGCCGAUUGCGCCGCCGCGGCGGCGGCGGCCGCCAUGAGCGGGGUCUGGGGCGAGGAGGCGCCCAUGUGGAUCUGGAAGGCGGGGUUGUGGGACGGCGGCGUGUGGAAGAGGCCCUGGAACGGGGAGCCGGCGAGGGAGGGUGGGCGGAGGUGGGUCAUGGGCGUCGCCGGGGAGCCGCCCGGCUGCGGCUGCUGCUGGGGAUGCGGCGGGCGCGGCUGGGGCGGGCCGCCGGUCGGGUUGGGGUUGCCGCCGGAGGCCAUGGCGGCGACGGCGGCGGCAAGCGCGAGAUCGGAUCUCGGUGGGGGUGGGGAACUGGGGAUUGGGGAAGCUAGGGUUUGGUGGCCCGUUGGCGUUGCAUAUCCGAUGGAACAGCCACCGGAUCGGUAUUGGACGGACAGGAUCUGCGCGUGAGCAUCCACAUCAGCAAAUGUUUCCAAAACCCCCUAGGGAAAGUGUAGCAUUUGAGAAGGAAGUCCUGGUCCAUAUCACAUUCACAAUCACAUCCCUAGAUUUGUUCCCCUUCACAUUCCAGAUCCCUCCCUCUUCUCUGAAAACGACGACAAUCCAAUUGUUUGCAACUCAUUGUCAAGUGCGUAAUAGCCAUACUGAGUGGUGUGCAAAUCAUUAUUAGUACAAGAUUAGACUACAUUUGCAGGGUUGCUCUAGAAUGAUGCCCUACUAUGCUAUAUCCAUUUUCUAGUUUUAGGUUCGUAGAUGUGCAAUGUCAUAACCACAAGCGCUUCUUAUUGGUGCCUUUUGGCAUGCCAUCUGUUAUAUAUUUCCUUGUGUUCUAGUACAAUAGUGUAGAUCAACAAUUGUUCUUUUUGUUAAGCUUUUACAUUCCAUUGCUAGAUGUGACUAUUUCAUAGAGUUAAGCAUGUACUAGCUUAUGUUGUGUAGUAGAUUGAUGCUAGGUUGUACUCAGCUUGAUCAAUCAAAGGGUAGCUCUGUUCUUCUUUUAUUGUCAGGUCUUGUGCUAGUGAUGUUUCUGUUUUCUCCACAUCAGAUCAGUGGGCUGUACAACCAAUGGACAGUCUUGUGCAGAGAUUUGGCUGGACAAAUUGCGGUGGGAGCGGAUGUUCCUCGACAGCGUCCACGCACAAUGUGUUUUUCAACUUGAUAUUGUACUGUGAAACUACAAUGUGUGGGGUUCAGAGAAGAAGCAAUGUCUUCCACAGUUUACUCUUGCUUACCAUUGGCCACUUGCUUGCAGAUAGCAUGCCAUCUCAACCAUUGCUGUGAAAUAAUGUAAGAGAUUUCAGAGGACAGAAGGUCUUCUAGGUUUGUCCCGCUGGGAUAAGGGAUGAGGACUCAUGCAGGUUUACCAAUGAUGGCAUGGCAGAACAGCAUAACGUCUUAAAUGAAGAGCGGUGGAUUAGCACUGAUAUGUUAAAUCAAACUAGUUUCUUCUCCAAUCGCUUUGAGAGUUAAAUUCCCGUGAAUCCACGAUUCGUAGCAAAACCGGGAACUACCCGCCGUUCAAAUCAAAUCAUUAUAUAUGCAUAAACCAUGACAAACUCAAUGGAAUACCGGCACGCUGCACGACCGACGGCGUUUGGGGAGAAGCCCCCGCGGAGGAAGAGACAAAGAGACGUUUCAACCUCUACAUCCAAGAUCGAAUCGGGGUGGUGCUUGCCACGACGCCACGACGGGGGACCUGGUGAGGCUGACGCCCUACAGCAAGUUCACGGUGUUGUUCAACUAUGUGGAGCGGCUGAGCCUGAACAUGGCGAAGAUGAGAGUUCACAGGUGGGAGGAGUACCGGGGGUGUCCGGAGACCGUGCAUGGCUACCUAAUCAAGUAUCGACCACAAUUUAUUCCUUCUCUCUAUUCCUUCUCUCAUGGCAGUUCACCAGCGAAAAGGUAAGUAAAUAUCUUUAGCAAGAGGUCUAACAAAAAUAUCAGCCUCAAUUUAGUUGUUUAUGUAGAUGAGAUCUAUUUUAUUUUUAACUAAUUUCAACAUACAACAUGUAUAUGCAUUAUUUUGCGUAAUUAAUGAACUAAUCUCUCAUGAACGAAAGUUGCAUUAUGCGCUCAAAGUCAAAGCUCUCGUCUCUCAGCUUUGGCGCCAAAGCUUCCAAGAGUUUGAGUAUUUUCAUUUCGAUUAUAAUUUUAUCAAAUUUGGUAUAUUUUUUCUCCUUCGUGGAGAACAUUAGCGGGAUCUCUAUUUAGAAGUUUAGAUAGAUAUCAUGAGUGAGAUUAGAGGUCUCAAAAUAAAUUUUCACAAAAGUGAGAUUUUCUACUUUGGACAAGCAAAAGAACAUGAGGCCUUGUAUUUGCAGCUUUUUGUUGUAAAUUAGGCUCUUAUCCUUUUCGCUAUCUAGGCAUACCAAUUCAUUUUAGAAAGUUAUGUAACAAGGACUAGAAAUUAGUCGGAGAGAGAUUUGAGAAAAGACUAUGUGGUUGGAAAGGUAAAAUGUUAUCUGUUGGUAGAAGAUUAGUGCUGAUUAUUCAGUUCUAUCUAGUUUACCAAUGUUCAUGUUAUAUUCCUUUGAGGUUUCAAGGGGAGUCCUUAAAAGAUAGAUUAUUUUUGAUAUAGGUUUUAUUGGCAGUAUGAUCAGCAUAAGAAAAAAAUAUAGACUAGCAAAGUGGGAAGUCUUAUGCCAACUAAAGAACCAAGGAGGUCUAGGGAUUUUGAACCUAGAUAUCCAGAAUAAAUUCUUGUUAAGUAAUGGCUUUUCAAGUUGUGUAAUGAGGAUUGAAUUCGGUAGGAACUUUUAAGGAGCAAACACCUUAAAGGCAAGGCAUUAGGCCAAGUAUAUAAGAAACCCGAGGAUUUAAAAGUGCAUCUUGGCCCCCCUAAAUGGGUUUUUGUGUUGAUGACAUGGAUAAUUAAGGAACUAAUGAUUUUAUUGAGAAAUUGAUAGGCUCAAAGUAAAAGAAAUAAAAAGAUGCAAGAAAGUACCCUGAAUUUGUUGAAGAACAGUGUUGGAGCUUAAGAGAAGAUUGUUUAUCAUUUUCUAAUUUUGAAUUUGAGUAUAAUAACACUAUACUAUAAAGGAGGAUACGGCCUGUUGACUUGAAAAUAUCAAAGUGCUCAUUCGAGACACUAACCACCUAUGAGAGACACCUUAAUCACACACAUGCACAUGUAGUUUCUCAUAGAUUUUGCAUUUAUCCAAAGUUCUGACUGGUUGUCGGAAGUUUCGACAUGUGCUGGAAGUUCCCAGUAACUUCCGACUGGGGGUGCUAAGUGAAUUUAUUUGAACAGGUCUAAAGUUCCGACUCGGUGUCAGAAGUUCCGACAAUCAAUUAAUAGCACAACAAUGGCUAGUUUUUGAGGCUCAGGUAUUUAUACCCCCUCAGCACCCCUUCAUUUGUUGCUGACCCAACUCGAGACAAAUACCUCCAAGAGCAUUCAAUACUCCUCCCCACUUCCUCCUUGAGCUAAAUCUUUAAGAGUUUUGAGCUAGGGUUUGGGUGAGAGAAGGAUUUGAGGUGUGUGACUUUAGCUUUGAGUGUGAGGUCAACCAAGUUCAUCUCAAGAGCACUUGAAGCAUCUUCAGUUUUCGAUUCGCGUUUGUUACUCAUGAAGUUUGCUUCUAGAUGGUUCAACUGCCCAUUUGAGCGCCUUCUUAUUGUGGUGCGCCCAGAAAGUUUGUAUUGCCCAUCCUUUUGCAGGAUUCGUACUAAGUGACUCAAUCCUCCUUUGUGAUUGAUUGAGAGAGGUAAAGGGUUAGUGAGGAUCUAGCUCUUUGUGAGCUCCUCAACGGAGACGUAGCUUCCUUUGUAUGAGUGAAUUUCGGUAAACAAAUCAUUUGUCUCGUGUGCUUGUUGUGUUCUUCAAAUUCUUGUUGACCUAGAGCUUGAUUUGUGCCGAUAUAUAUUCUUGUGAAGUUUCUAUCAUAAAGAUUACCUGCAGUAGUCUCUAUAGUUCAUUGCUGAAAUCUUGAUUCAAAUAGAUUCUGCUAAAACCUAUUUAAAUUUUUAUUUCGUAGAGUACUUUUUACUCUAUCGGAAGGUCCGCUCCUGUACCGGAAGUUCCGGCACAGUGUCGGAAGUUCCGAUCCAUUUAACUCUGCUGCGAAGAAUUUUCAGGUUUUAAAGAUUGAGCCUAUUCACCCCCCUCUAGGCAUCACACGAUCCUUUUCAGGAUUCAUAAUUUUGGAUGCGUUUAAUGGGUGCGAAGGAAGAUUUUUUGUAGCUGGGAUGAUUUAAAGUGAAUUCAGGAAAUCAUACUAGAUUUUGGGAAGAUGUUUGGAUGGGGAACCAAACUUUGAAAGAUAAGUAUCCUCAUUUAUACAAUAUCGUAUGGAAGAAACUAGUCACAGUUGCAUAUGUUUUUAGUACUACUCCUCUAAAUAUCUCUUUUAGGAGAUUUCUGGCGGGGGUUAAGCUAAUAGAUUGGUACAACUUAGUGGCUACAAUAUUAAAUUUCAACCUUCCGGGGGAAGCGAUGUGUUCAUAUGGGCACUUAGUAAGAAAAAUAAUUUUAGUGUUCAUUCAAUGUACAAAUUUUAGUGUUCAUUCAAUGUACAAACAUCUCAUCAGUAACUCAUCAGUAAUGGUGUUAGAGUCACACAAGAGAUGGCAAAUGAAAAUACCAUUAAAGUUCAAGAUCUUUAUGUGGUAUAUAAAGAAAGAAUAAUCUUAAUAAAGGAUAAUUUAGCCUAGGAAAAUUGGAAUGGUAACAAAUAAUGCAGUUUUUUUUAGUUGUGUGGAAACCAUUAUGCUAAAUUCCUUUGGCAGGCUCUACACAUAUUAUUUGGAAUUGCUCCACCAACCAGUACUGAUCUUUUUAAUCUACUAUAUUGAGGGGCCACAACGCUUUGUUGGGCUAUUUGGAAUACAUGGAAUGAAGUGCCAACCGAAAACUUUUUUGCACGUACUGUUUAGGGGGACAUACUAGUUUAGGUUUUGGGUCAAGUUGCAGCGAAGUGAGAAUGAUCAGGAGGCUCUAAUCAUAGCAUGUCAUUCGCUGGAGAUGGCUACCUUGUGUUUCUUCACUUUGAAUGGAUGGUCCUUUAAUUUAUGGAUUAGUGUUUAAAAUUUGGUUUGCUUACGGAUGAUUCAUUUGAGUGUAGCUUUUAUGCUAUUACUUGUAAUAAUUAAGAUGUGAUACCUCUUCAUGUAAGAGAGUGAAGUCGGAUGCCUUUUCCAUUAUGAAAAAGAGAUAGAUAUUCAUGAAAAAGGAGAUUUCGAGACUCUCAGAGUUGCGUAAAAUAUACUUCUAAAAGGAAACCAUACAAUGAUAUGUGGUCCUUGUGCCUACUCGAGAUUUUGUAAAAAAGAAAAACAAAACCUGCACCUCCUCUGUCAUAGUUUGGCCACUGGCCCUAGGCAGCUUGGUUGGGUUCGUGGAAUGUGGCCAUUGUGGCUCUUAAAUCUGUACAAUCCUUGGCAUCACUAAGGUUAGUUGAGCUUACACCUUGGUCACCACCUGGUGCUCAAAGGAACUGGUGAAAUGUCGUGUGCCAAAUUUGCAUUGUCUGUAGUACUGAUCCCAGAAGGAAGGCAGCGGGAGUGUAGUGGCGUCUGUAAGCUGUAUGCCCAAGGGAUUGGUUUCGUAAUGAAGUGUUUUAGUGCUCAUUGCCUCGAAAUGCCAACAGUUAAUCGUGCUUGAAGCUGCUGCAUCUUCUUUGACGGAGUGUCAAUUAGUAGAGUGGUGAUAUUUUCUACUCAGCUCCCACUUCUUUUGUUACUGCAGCAGAACUAUAUAUGUUAAUGGGUUGUUCGGUUACAGAGUUAAGGCUGAUUUUGCAUUUCAGCCUGUACAGCAGCAAGCAAUGCAUUGCUACAUAAGACGAAACUAUUAGAAGAAGCUACUCAUUUUGACAUAGUACAGUAUUUUGCUUGACAACAACAGGACCUCGGUGACAGUGAAGGAGUUGGCCAAGCAGUUGGUGAGUAUUUGUUUGCUCAAGACUUAAAUUCUUGGCUGCAUACUUACUGUGCUGAGUUGAACCAUGGCAAUGAUCUAGUUGAGCUACCAGUACUGAACGAUUUCAAUUCACCAAUCUGUUGUGCUAAUAUUGAACGGACUGAGAUUAGAUAUUCACCGACCAUGGCAUGGGUGGAAAUAUUCAGAACAUGAACUAAUCCCCUCCUCUCUACUGAACCUCUUCCUCCUCUAGAUUAUCUUCUACGAAAAGUCGAAACCACGUGAGAAACCUGAGGCCCUCCGCGUCCCUCCCAGACGGCGCCGAGGGCGACUACCACCGCCAGCCAAAAAAGCCUCGCCUCGACUCCUGUUGCUCGUUGUUCCCCCUUCCAACUACCUCUGUUUCUCCCUCUCGUUUCUUCCUUGAGGCUAGCGAUGGACCAAACCAAGGGGCUAGCCACUGGACAUAGCUGCUCCUCCCCGUGCAAAGGACACAUCCGGCCUGAAGGGGCUUUCUAGAGGCCUGAUCUAGUGCCGAAGCACAUGGAUCCAAUGCGGGCACGCAGUGACCGGGCACCAUAGGCUGAGGUCGGCGCGCACCUCAGGUGGGCAACGCCCCGAGCAGCGAGGGGUAAGCCGACCGCGGCCUUUGGAGGACUAGUAGUUUGCGGACUAAGCUGAUGCCGGUCGGCAUCGUGUUGUGGCUUCCGUUGUGCUCGAUGCAGGUGGAUCCACCAGUGCUCCUUACCGUGCAUUGCCUGGACAUAGGAUUGGGCUGGGGUGGCGUGUGGUGGCGGCGGCCGAUGAGGCUGCUGUCUACAUAUGUGUGCCAAUGGUGUGAGUCGCCGGUGAAAGCCUGGUUUCCUACCUGCAACAACGACGACGCUUGCGGGCGCUGUUCUCCUCCAUGGAGGUGUUGUCUUGUGACUCCUAUACCAUCUCCACCGUCGGUACCGUUCACAGAUGUGGCGGAGGCUGUUGUGCAGCGAAAGCUUCGCGCCCGAAGCAGGAGGGUAUCUCACCUUUGCACAAUAAGUUGUGAUCCUCGGCUGCUCGGUGCCGCCUAUCUUCUUCAUCUCUUCAUUGUCGGUAUACUUCUUGCACUUGUUGACAUUGGUUGUUGGCUAUCGUUCUGGUUCGGUGAGUGUCCCCCAUUUGGCUCCUCUACUCCGUCGAUACUCUUCUGUUGAUGGUGCCAUCAAAUUUUAUACCGGGUGGUGUUUCCACCUCUUCCACCAUUCCCCUUCGAGGCUUCCUCCCCUCAAAUAGCGUUGGAUGAUGGUAUGUGAAGCUCGGAUGUCCUUCUAAAGGUGUUACCAUUAGCUUCAAGGAAGAUCGUCGUGUCCGGUAGGCUCUGGUUUGUGCACUUCUCGCCACCUUUAGUCCCCCUUCGUUGAUGGUCCCUCAGAUGGAGGGCAACAACGAAGCGACGCAGCUACGAGGGGUGGUGUGGUCGUGCAAUGGUCAGGGAGUAUUGGCGAGUAUGUUGUUCAAUGGUGGCUCUAAUCGGCGAACGGUGGUUGUUUUUCGGCUUGUGUCAUGACUUGUGUCUAAAUUAUAUACGUGUUGUAUUUCUCUUUCUUUGUGGCAUCUAGUUGUACACUUAUUUUGUUGCUGAAGAUCUUAUACUGUUUUGAUUUGCUCAAGACCCUUUAAAUGAAAUUCAGGUGGCAUUCUCUCCCCCGGUGACCGUAAAAAAAAAAGAGAUUGUCUUCUACUUCUGAUGUAUCUCUGAUCCCAGCAUCACUUGCUUUGCUGCUCUAUCCCGAACUCCAUCUCUCUCAAUCCGUAUCCUCGUUUGUCUGUAUCGUGGAUUGGAUUGGAUUUGCAGUAGCACUUGAUGCUGUUGAGUUGAUCUGGCAUCAAUCGGAGAGUUGCUAACAUGUAUCUUGAUCAGCCCUUUUUCUUUGUUUUUGUUGCUGUUGACAUCUUAUUUGCCCUCAUCAUCACCCAACUGAUGUAGCCGUGCCACACGAUUUUCACGCAUCCCAUGCUCGGCGAGCAUCUUGGAUCCGUUCACACUUCACUCUCCCUUUUCCUUUGUCGGUAUCAGCAUCACGACACGCUACUCCUCCUCCCGGCCCAUCCUUUUUUAAUCAAACCUGGCUUUAUUAGGAAGCUUAACAAGGAUACAAAUGAUCAAGAUGCUGGGUUGCCAGCUUAAGCACUCCCUCUGCUCACGGUACUAACAAGCUUGAGCUAACUCUACUAAUUGAUUUUCACAAAACUCUACUAACCAGUUUGCCGUGGCUGCGACCCCGCCAGCACCUACCGAAACCCCACACAACGUAGGUGCGUCUCCGGCGGAGUAGACGGAAGCUCGAUGACCAAAGCUUGCAGCUCCCGCUCCGCGAGCCGCCUCGCCCGCGCGGCAGCCGCCGCAGGCCACCGCCCCUGUGCGGCCGUUGCCGACACCGCCGCAGGCCAUCGCCUGCGCGCGGUCGCUGUGGACCGCCGCCGACGUCGCAGGCAACCUCGCCCCCGUGCUGCUGCUGCAGGCCACACGCCCGCGCGUGGCCUUCGCCGCCGCGGGCAACUCGCCCUUGCCCAACUCAGCCCAAAUCCGGGCUAGAGCAGCCCGAAUCGGAGGAUUCCGCCACCGCCGCGCCCUCCUAGCUCCCGCACGGGCAUCCGGUGGGCCAGCUCCGACGACAUCGAGAUGGGAGGGGGAAGGAGAAGGGGUGGCAGCGCUAGGGUUUCCGAUGGGGAACGAUGGCUUGGGGGAGAGGGAGGGAAGAUGCGCGGGAGGAGGCCUCGCCGCCACCGUCCUUGCGCCCGCGUGGGCUUCCGGCGGUGCGCUCCGGUGGCGGCGAGAUGGAGGAACGGGGGCGGAGGAGCUGAGGGGCGCGCGGCGGUGGUCCACCUGGGUCGCCCUGUGGGGAUGACGCGCUCGAAAGGGAGGGAAGGACGAACCUGAAUCAAGAGCUGAGCUAGCCCCGGGGGUGCAACACCACCGACGGAGCCGGGCUCAGCGAGCCAUGGGAUACCGGACUCCUCGUCAUCGCGCGCCCGGACUACGCAUCACAUCGCGCGGACGGUCUCGGGGCCUCCACUCUCCAGCCGGUGGGACUCCAAAAUCAUGCGACUCUCAUGACUCCGACCCAUACCCCGGCACGACUACAAGCAGCACUGCAGCAGUGUUCCGAUUGGGCUGUGACCUCUGGCCUGUACUCCAUACGAGCAUAGCGCAAUGAUCACUUGAUCAGUGAUCGGCGUGGGGAGUGCCCACUGGGGGAGAGGAGAUCGCGUUGUUUGAUCGGUCAGUGGCAUCGAUCGGGUCCGGGCUGUAGCAGCAGCACGCAGCCUCCAAAUAAUUCCCCAUGGGCCGCCGCUGGCCUCUGGCCGUGGCCUUUUCGUGCCAACUAGAUCCAGUUCACGUGCCGGGAGAGAACGAGAGGAUCCCGCCGGUGCCGGCGACUGUUUGGGUCGCGGAUACGAGAGAUCUGGAGGCUUUUCUUUUUCUCUUUACGAGGACAACAAAAGAUGGAGGCGGACGAAUUGGCCGCUCGAUGCCCUCAUGGAGUGGAUCCUGUUGAUCCGGAGAGGAAUAUUGUGCUAUGUCCCAGUAGGGCCCGCUGCUGUAAUCAGUGACCCUAAUUCUGGAGCUGCGAUUAGUGGUAGGUUUGUACUGACGCGCGUGUACAAAUUUGUUCCCGUGCUUCGGUUUCUCCGCAUGCUUUAGUUUGGUUUGUUGUGCGUAAGAGUUUUGUAGCCGCGUGAUUUCGUGUUUAGUGAAUUGACAGGCACGUUUUGUAGAAUACUGUAUUUUUAUGUGUACAAUAAUUAA